rnacentral:tmRNA from 1 species
GGGGCUGACUUGGAUUUCGACAGAUUUCUUGUCGCACAGAUAGCAUGCCAAGCGCUGCUUGUAAAACAGCAACAAAAAUAACUGUAAACAACACAGAUUACGCUCCAGCUUACGCUAAAGCUGCGUGAGUUAAUCUCCUUUUGGAGCUGGACUGAUUAGAAUUUCUAGCGUUUUAAUCACUCCAUAACCUUAAGCUAGACGCUUUUAAAAGGUGGUUCGCCUUUUAAACUAAGAAACAAGAACUCUUGAAACUACCUCAAGGUUUUAGAAAGUUGGACCAGAGCUAGUUUUAAGGCUAAAAAACCAACCAAUUUUCUAAGCAUUGUAGAAGUUUGUGUUUAGGACAAGAUUUUUGGACUGGGGUUCGAUUCCCCACAGCUCCACCA